GCUUGCGCCCACGGUGGCCGCAAGGUUGGUGCGCGAGAGGGGGCCAAGAUGGCGGAAUGAAGCGAGGCGCGCCGUGGUGACCCGGCCUGUGGGCCGGGGGGACAGCGUGGGCCCCGGGCGCUCGGGCGCUCCUGCCGGCGCUACGAGGAUGGAUAUUUUCAUUAACUUUAGGGUGCUUUUAUAUUCAUCUCAAAAAGAAAACAGAAUUCUGAACUCAGGAAUUGGCACGUGUUUCUGUUUUGUUUUCCAGAACAAAUAAUCCUUUUAUCAGCUUUUCUUUUCACUACUGCAACAUGAAUAAUUCUCCUUGAUACAUACCUUCAUCCGGUUUGGAAAAAGGGAGGGCAUACUUCUCUUUGCUCAGAUGCAACCAGGACAGUCAUCUGCCGGCUUCUAUAGAGUUUGACAAAGGAGCAACUGACAAACGUUUUCAGCUCUUAUUUGCUUAAUUGGAAAGAAGUUUUACAAAAGGUUAGUGUUUAAUUUGAAGCAGACUGUAGAAAUGAAUUCUGAACUUGGGUUAUACUUUGAAGUGAAAAAGAUGCUAAUGGUUUACAUCUAUACCACAAUUGUGACUCAUCCUGUGGCACAGAUUUACUGGAACAAAGUUUCAAAUCAAAAACUUGGAUGUGAUAGAGAAGCAUGCAAUACAGUAGCAUAUGAUUCAUUUCAAGUGAAGAAAACAUCAGCCUGUACAUUGGAAGUCCACAUUUUGGAAGGAAAGAGGGAUUUUACUCCUGGAGAAGGAGACAGUUAAGUUAUUCCUCAGAAAUAUGAAUAUUUGGUACUUUUUAAUGCUUUCUCAUUCUUUUAAGAAAGGAUCCUGUUGUGUAGAUGUGAAUUCUAUGAAUAUAUGCUUAGGUUUAAUGAAAUGUUGAUUUAAAAAAAAGGUUUUGAAUGUAGUAAUGGAACCUGUUCACCACCCUCAGAUGAGAGGCUGCUGUAUUGCAAGUUACUUCAUUUCUUUUGUGGAGUCUGCUGUAUCACUUGAGAUUUGGUUUUCCAUGCUACUGAAAAUCAAGUGGACUUUGAUUUUUCUAUACAGAAGAUAAGAUGGAUCCUAAUAUAUGACCUGCCUUCAGCUUUGGGAUUAGUGGGAGAACAGGAUGGAGAUGAGAAGGCUUUGUAUAACUCCUAAGAAAAAGAAGAAAAAUGCUUCAUGCAGGGCCAGGAUGUGACCCAGUAGGAAAGUACAUGCCUUAUACGCAUGAGACC